rnacentral:lncRNA from 1 species
CGCAGGUUUGCUCACUGCCCUGGGGACAGCUCCCGGUGGCCAGCCUGCCUGGGCUCCCACGCCCGGGGCUCUGGCUGGACCUCAGAACAGUUCCGCUGGGCCGCGGUCCGACUAACCCGGGUGUCUGCAAACGCGGCCGAUUCGGGAAGGUACAUGCACGUCACAGCUAUUAAAAAACUUAAAAGUAAGUUUCCGUUUCCCCUUUGCUCCCAACGCAGAAAUAGGUGCGCCUUCUCGGAGCCGCACAGUUCACAGGUCACCGGGCCGUGGGUGACUCUCUGGUCGGCGCUGAGCUUCAAGAGUGACCAUUCCCCAGACGGUGCACGUCUCACUCUGAAAUUGCUUUUGCUCCCUGCGUCUGUCCUGCGGAGCUCACUCCCAAGACCGGUGUCACAAUGGUCGGAGUCAUUUGCCACCUCCCUGUAAUUAGCGAUCUCCACGGCGUCCCGUGCAACUGCCCUCCCCAGGCCGGAGAACUGCAGGAAAACACGGCCCUUCCCCUUCCACUCGCCGAGGGUCCGGUCACAACGCCAGUCUUCCAGGUGUGGGUUGUCUUGGAGAACGUGUCUUUUUGCCCCAGAGGUCCUGGCCUUGGGCUGGGGUCUAAAUGAGCCUGCUUUGGAGUGAGCUGACAACAGUGCGAUUAUUAUUAAGGCACUGAUGGCCUGCAAUAGGAUUCCUUAAAAAGGAGACUUAAACACCAUUUAGCAGUUACUCAGACUUUAUGUUCACUAAGAAAUGGAGAACAUGGAAGAGAAACUGCCUUCUGCUCAGAUGCAGUAGUUUUGUUUUUUUAAAAAAUAAUCUUUUGUGGAAUAAACUUAACCAAGGAGGUGAAAGACUUGCAAAAAAAAAAAAAAGUUAAAACUACAUUGAAAACUAGAAAAUGUUGCUGAAAGCUGUUAAAGAAGACACCAGGAAAUGAGAAGACAUCCUGUGUUGUGGACUGGAAGAC